rnacentral:rRNA from 1 species
GAUGAACGCUGGCGGCGUGCUUAACACAUGCAAGUCGAACGGGAUCCAUCAAGCUUGCUUGGUGGUGAGAGUGGCGAACGGGUGAGUAAUGCGUGACCGACCUGCCUCAUACACCGGAAUAGCUCCUGGAAACGGGUGGUAAUGCCGGAUGCUCCAGUUGAUCGCAUGGUCUUCUGGGAAAGCUUUCGCGGUAUGGGAUGGGGUCGCGUCCUAUCAGCUUGACGGCGGGGUAACGGCCCACCGUGGCUUCGACGGGUAGCCGGCCUGAGAGGGCGACCGGCCACAUUGGGACUGAGAUACGGCCCAGACUCCUACGGGAGGCAGCAGUGGGGAAUAUUGCACAAUGGGCGCAAGCCUGAUGCAGCGACGCCGCGUGAGGGAUGGAGGCCUUCGGGUUGUAAACCUCUUUUAUCGGGGAGCAAGCGAGAGUGAGUUUACCCGUGAAUAAGCACCGG